CCUACGGGGGGCAGCAGUGGGGAAUAUUGCGCAAUGGGGGCAACCCUGACGCAGUCAUGCCGCGUGAGUGAAGAAGGCCUUCGGGUUGUAAAGUUCUUUCGGUAGCGGGGGAGGCAUUUAGGUUAAUAGACUAGGUGAUUGACGGUGACUACAGAAGAAGCACCGGCUAACUCCGUGCCAGCAGCCGCGGUAAUACGGAGGGUGCGAGCGUUAAUCGGAAUAACUGGGCGUAAAGGGCACGCAGGCGGUGACUUAAGUGAGGUGUGAAAGCCCCGGGCUUAACCUGGGAAUUGCAUUUCAUACUGGGUCGCUAGAGUACUUUAGGGAGGGGUAGAAUUCCACGUGUAGCGGUGAAAUGCGUAGAGAUGUGGAGGAAUACCGAAGGCGAAGGCAGCCCCUUGGGAAUGUACUGACGCUCAUGUGCGAAAGCGUGGGGAGCAAACAGGAUUAGAUACCCGGGUAGUC
rnacentral:rRNA from 1 species